GACGUAGGGCGCGAGCGUUGUCCGGAUUUAUUGGGCGUAAAGAGCUCGUAGGCGGCUUGUCGCGUCGAAUGUGAAAACUCGGGGCUCAACUCCGAGCUUGCAUUCGAUACGGGCAGGCUAGAGUUCGGUAGGGGAGACUGGAAUUCCUGGUGUAGCGGUGAAAUGCGCAGAUAUCAGGAGGAACACCGGUGGCGAAGGCGGCUCACUGGACCGGUACUGACGCUGAGGCGCGAAAGCGUGGGGAGCAAACGGG
rnacentral:rRNA from 1 species